rnacentral:rRNA from 1 species
AGCGAACGCUGGCGGCAGGCCUAACACAUGCAAGUCGAACGGACCCUUCGGGGUUAGUGGCGGACGGGUGAGUAACACGUGGGAACGUGCCUUUAGGUUCGGAAUAGCUCCUGGAAACGGGUGGUAAUGCCGAAUGUGCCCUUCGGGGGAAAGAUUUAUCGCCUUUAGAGCGGCCCGCGUCUGAUUAGCUAGUUGGUGAGGUAACGGCUCACCAAGGCGACGAUCAGUAGCUGGUCUGAGAGGAUGACCAGCCACACUGGGACUGAGACACGGCCCAGACUCCUACGGGAGGCAGCAGUGGGGAAUCUUGCGCAAUGGGCGAAAGCCUGACGCAGCCAUGCCGCGUGAAUGAUGAAGGUCUUAGGAUUGUAAAAUUCUUUCACCGGGGGCGAUAAUGACGGUACCCGGAGAAGAAGCCCCGGCUAACUUCGUG